GACGAACGCUGGCGGCGUGCUUAACACAUGCAAGUCGAACGGAAAGGCCCUGCUUUUGUGGGGUGCUCGAGUGGCGAACGGGUGAGUAACACGUGAGUAACCUGCCCUUGACUUUGGGAUAACUUCAGGAAACUGGGGCUAAUACCGGAUAGGAGCUCCUGCUGCAUGGUGGGGGUUGGAAAGUUUCGGCGGUUGGGGAUGGACUCGCGGCUUAUCAGCUUGUUGGUGGGGUAGUGGCUUACCAAGGCUUUGACGGGUAGCCGGCCUGAGAGGGUGACCGGGCAAAUUGGGACUGAGAUACGGCCCAGACUAGUACGGGAGGCAGCAGUGGGGAAGAUUGCACAAUGGGCGGAAGCAGGAUGCAGCAACGCCGCGUGCGGGAUGACGGCCUUCGGGUUGUAAACCGCUUUCGCCUGUGACGAAGCGUGAGUGACGGUAAUGGAUAAAGAAGCACCGGCUAACUACGUG
rnacentral:rRNA from 1 species